AACACAAUUGUUAUUCAGCUCUCAACCGAAACGUGUUGUUUUCUUACAUAUUAUUAUCAAUUUGCAAACGUUUUAUUCAAAAUGAAAAUACAUUUUUUGGUUAUUGCUUUGUUGGUGGCAUCUUGUUGCGAGGCUAAUAUCAUCGGCAAUACUUUCAGAAGAGUCACCGACACAGUAAAGGUUGCAUUAUUUGGACGAAAAUCAGUACAGAAUCCAAACCAGAAUAUGGCCCACGGCAAUUACAGCUCUGGCUUUGCUAGCAACCAGAAUCAAAUGCUGAACCCAAAUGGUAUACCUGCAAGUAUCCCCAACGUUGCUUGAACUUCAACGGCGAACACGGUCACUACAUAUCAAACAUUUUUGAUUUGUACAGUUGAAAUGAACGGCUGUUUUCAUCAAUGACAAAAAUAAAAAAAAAGAAGAAAAGUGUUUUUUCAAA